CCUACGGGAGGCAGCAGUCGGGAAUUUUGCGCAAUGGGCGAAAGCCUGACGCAGCAACGCCGCGUGAGGGAUGAAGGCCUUCGGGUUGUAAACCUCUUUUUUCAGGGAAGAUAAUGACGGUACCUGGAGAAUAAGUCACGGCUAACUACGUGCCAGCAGCCGCGGUAAUACGUAGGUGACAAGCGUUGUCCGGAUUUACUGGGCGUAAAGAGCGCGCAGGCGGUCGUUCAAGUCGAGUGUGAAAGCCCCCGGCUCAACUGGGGAGGGUCACUCGAUACUGAUCGACUCGAAGGCAGGAGAGGGAAGUGGAAUUCCCGGUGUAGUGGUGAAAUGCGUAGAUAUCGGGAGGAACACCAGUGGCGAAGGCGACUUCCUGGCCUGUUCUUGACGCUGAGGCGCGAAAGCUAGGGGAGCAAACGGGAUUAGAUACCCCGGUAGUCCUAGCCGUAAACGAUGGACACUAGGUGUUGGUGGUAUCAACCCCGCCAGUGCCGAAGCUAACGCAUUAAGUGUCCCGCCUGGGGAGUACGGCCGCAAGGCUAAAACUUAAAGGAAUUGACGG
rnacentral:rRNA from 1 species